CCUACGGGAGGCAGCAGUGAGGAAUAUUGGUCAAUGGACGAGAGUCUGAACCAGCCAAGUAGCGUGAAGGAUGACUGCCCUAUGGGUUGUAAACUUCUUUUAUAUGGGAAUAAAAUGUUCCACGUGUGGGAUUUUGUAUGUACCAUAUGAAUAAGGAUCGGCUAACUCCGUGCCAGCAGCCGCGGUAAUACGGAGGAUCCGAGCGUUAUCCGGAUUUAUUGGGUUUAAAGGGAGCGUAGGAGGAUUGUUAAGUCAGUUGUGAAAGUUUGCGGCUCAACCGUAAAAUUGCAGUUGAAACUGGCAGUCUUGAGUACAGUAGAGGUGUGCGGAAUUCGUGGUGUAGCGGUGAAAUGCUUAGAUAUCACGAAGAACUCCGAUUGCGAAGGCAGUUCACUGGACUGCAACUGACACUGAGGCUCGAAAGUGUGGGUAUCAAACAGGAUUAGAUACCCCUGUAGUC
rnacentral:rRNA from 1 species